UGGUUGGCUCAAGAGGAGGGAAAAAAUGCGGGUCUCCCGUCGUCUCCCCCAUUGGUUCCUCUCCCCAAUCCCCUCCUCGUUCCUCUGUCUCCCCCAAAUCCUCUGUAUCCUCGUCCAAAUCCCGUCGGCCGCCACAGGGUCUCACACUCCGUCGUCGUCCUCCACACCAACGGUCGCCUCGCCGGGCGAGCAGCAACAAGACGCCAUGGGGCGAGCUGUUGACGCGCGGGGGAGAAGCCCAUGAGAGGGUACUCGAGGUAGUCCACCUCCUCCAGGGUGUAGCACGCGGUGGCCUCCACGAAUCACACUCCCUCGCCGGUACAGUCCACCACGAGCUCGCCGACGUCGGACAGCACGAGAAGGACGGCGAUGGGAUAGUAGCUCACCAGCUUGGCAGCCAGAUCCCGCUCAAUGUCCUCGACCGGGGAUUCGGCGGCGUCGUCUCCUGCAGCGCGGCCCUUGAAGACGUGGAGGGACUCUAUGAGGGCGCGCUGCAUCGGGAUAGCGCCGUAGCGGUCGAGCCAGGAGAGCGGGAGCUCGCCGCUGGGCGUGUACGUUGAAGGGGCCUGCCGCGCCCGCUCCAGCAGUCCUUAUGGUGGUGUUUGUGGUGGGCGGAUAUCUGGUUAUUGUGUUGGGGUACUCGCUGGCUAGCUCACCUGGGGAAAGGAAGAGAAUCAGCUGAGUGGCUAUAGGGUGGGCAGGCCGGAGCUGGUUUGUUGAAGAAGAGCCGACAUGGAAUUUAAGAAGAGAGCAGCUAUUACAUCAUUUUUCUAAUCUUCAGCCCAAGGUCAAGAUUCAUCUCUCCAUCUUUUCCGACUACAAUCAACUUAAGAUCUUGGUGAUGGCUUGUCAAUCCAUGGCUGCCUUGUCCUAGGCAAGAAGCAUGCACCGUUCCUGUCAUGACCUUCCUUCGUGCAGAGUCCUCUUCAUGGUUCUUGCAUCCCAUGCAGAUGAUAGGACCUGCCGUGAGGGCGUAGCUAGGGUUCAAGUGAGUUGGUGGCCUGCACGACACCACCACCCUCGAAGUUGCAGUUGCUUGGUUUUGCUGUUGUGCCGAAUCAAGUGGCAGAUGGGCACCAUCAUCCUCUUUCAGGCAAAGAUCAACAUGCUCUUUCCUUUUGGUUUGUUCUCCCAGUUUAGAUAUAUGUUGUCCGCAUACAUAUGUUGUUCCAAUGGCUUGAAGAGGCGUGUAUGGCUAACCAGCGAGAUGUCUGUCCAUGCAUGAUGUCAUUUUGCUCUGAUGAAGCUGCUCUUCCCCUAAGAGUGUCAGUAAUGAUGGGCUUGGGGAAGCUACAGAAGCCAUAAACAGAACACUUACUGAUUCGGAGAUCACUAUCGUCGGAGACAGUGGAACAAAUAGAAUCACCUCCUCUUCCGAUGCUGAUGCUAAAAAAAGGUGACCAGAGAACCAUGUCUACAGGAAUAUGGAAGAGAAAUUAACAUAUGAGAAUACCACAAAAGACAUCUGCAGUAAAAUCUUCUGUUGAUGAUUUUUCAGAAUAUACUCCAUCUGAGUCUGAUUCUAUGGCGUUGGAUAAUGUUCCUAUGCGCUCAAAGGAUUAUGUAUUAUCAGGGCAACACCAUCUUACAGAAAACGAGAGUUGACGAUCUUUAAAUUUUGUUUUUUUGUCCUCAAAGAAGAAAGUAGAAACAUAUCAACGCUCUCUUGAAGAUGGCUCCAUUCUGGUGCUUUCUUCUUCAAAUGUGAGUUCCAUGUCAUAGCUUCACUUUAUCACACUUACCUUAUAUCCUUGUUUUAACAGUAAUACCAAUGUACACUGCUGCAGUUUUGUGAAACAAAUCAAGCGACUGUGAAUGAUUUUUUUAGCUUGAUUUCUCGCAUUCUAUAAUGUGACAUGAUGGUAUUGAAGAUGCAGAAGAGGAGGACUUAGUUUCACAUGGUGUUAUGAGUUAUGACACUAAUCGAGCCAGCGAGCAGCACUCUUAAGAAUUAUAUUUGUGUUCAUCGCUUUUCAGAAAAGCUACAUGUUUAUUGAUGUCAUGCCUGCAAAAUAUUCACUUGACAAACAAAUGCUGAUUUUUAGGCUCUGAACUGACAUUGACAUGCGGGAACUAGGAUUUGAGCUCAUACAUGGUUAAGAACUCAGUAAAUAAUUAGAUGCCCUUAUAGAUUUUUUUGACUAAUAUUUCUUCACCUUAGUUACAGUUUUUUUGUUUCUAUUGUGGUUGUUCCAGCUGUUUUAUGUAGCUUUGACAUAUUGAUGGUCACUUGCAGAACAUCUACACUCUGGUAGUUGUUAAGUAAUGUUUGUCUCUCAUUUACUAUAGAUCCCACAACUUAGUUUAAGGGAAUGAUGGGUGAAGGUGGAGGAGUUGAUGAAGACAAUACUAAAUCCUAUAGGGCAAGGAUUAUUUUUUCACUGGCCAAGGACAAGCUAAGAUGGCUCCAAGGUCAUAUGAGAAGCGCAGUUUGUUUCUGUAGAUUGUGUGAUUUCUCUUUUACUUUCGUUGAUGUCUAACUUGAUGAGCUGGUGAAACAAAUUCGUUGCUAAUUUACGAAUUUCUCUUUGAUUUACCAAAAACCUAAUUUGAUUUUCGUUGCUCUUACUAUAUGAGCUAUUGAGCUGGAGAAAAUCACACAGAGGUGCUUAAGAAAUAUAUGCCAUCUAACUUUAUGUCUUUGAUUUUCAUUGUUUCAGGUUGAGGGCUGCUACGGGCCGUUGCGACUCUUUGUCUUAUACAUAGUUGUCUUUCUUAGAUUUGUUCGCUUUACACCACCCUGUAUCUAUCCAUCCUCUAUGCAUUAUGUUCAUUCACACAUUUAUAUGCUCUAUUUUGAAUCAACUAGACAUAUGCACAUUUUCACCGAUUCGAUCUUGACGUGUUAGUUAUGAAGAGUUACUUUGUUCAAUCUAAAUAUCCUCUUGCAUUUUGUGUAGCGAUGACAAGACUGUUAUCGUCUGAUCUGUCAAGAGAGACUUGCUCCAGGAAUCACCACCUUGGAUUGCGUCUAAAGGUGUGCUUGGGGUGCUACCUCCGGUUGAGUUUGAAGAGGUGAUUCUUUUUUGCACAUUAAACACGCGCGUGAUAGAAUAUAAUUUCAGUGCAAUACAAUGUUCAUGGUCAAAUGAUAUUCGGUAUGAAACAAGAUGGUCAGAUAAAUAUCACUUUGCAAAUUUGAUUCCCAAUGGAGAAACCAAAUAUGCAUGAAGCAAAGAUUAAGGAGAAAUGUCAGAUAAAUAUCACUUUGCAAAUUUGAUUCCCAAUGGAGAAACCAAAUAUGUAUGAAGCAAAGAUUAAGGAGAAAUCGAGGACAACAUAAGCCACUUCUGUAUAACAACUGAAUAGCUGGUUAUAUAUAAGUUGUCGUACUCAAACGAUGAUUUAGUAUUGGUUUCUACCUCACUCUAUAAGCUUAAUAGAAAGUGUUUGACAUAAUAUUCGUCGGUGCUAAAGAAGGGCCACGUGCCAAGGUGUGACCCUAAAUGUAAUAGAGCCCGCUAUCAUAGUAGAAAAGCAUAAGACACGAUGAUUCUAUCCAUGUAUCUGUCUAUGGUAUUGCUCACCUAUUUAGUACACUUGCUUUGCUGCUAUGUUUAUAGUUUCGUUUGAUUUAUCCUGAUUAACCUACUAGCAUCGUUUUGUGAAACCUAAAAAAUUUAGUUUCAUAUUGGUAGUUAAUUUUUAUCGCUGUUAGACAAAAUAUACAUUGGCACGAGCUCCACGGGACCGUGCGCCAAGGCGCACAUCUAAAUCUAGUGCAAUUGUAAUUUACCUCGGCUAAACUAAGCCAUGGAUGCAUAUGCAAAACCAUACCAAUGUGGCCUCGUAGAAUUGUGUUAAUAUUGAUGUUAUAUGAAAUAUGUGGAUUCUAUCGUUA